AAAACGUUGUUAAAAUGUAGAAAGGAAUGUAUAGGGAAAUCAUUGGUGUAAAGCAAACGAGAAUUUCUUUGAACCUCAUCGCUCGUAAACAAAUUAUUUCUUCUUUGUUCGUUCUUAUUUUGUACAUUGAUCUUUACAAGAUACUGAUUUUAAUAAAGCAAGCAGUUAAAUUGUCACAUCAAAUUUCUAGCGUAUGAAAUGUGCACAUUGUCUGUAAUGUUUUGAAAUCCUUGUACACCAUUCCUUACAGAAACUUUUCUAGUUUAGGUUAAAGAUCCCCUAAUGACGUGCAAACACGUGAUUAUACCAGGGCAUCAGAACGAAUCAAGAGCAUCGAAGGGGAGGAAUUGUAGAAGAAUUUUGGUCUUUAUACAGGGUAAUUGCCAGCGCGACGCAGAAUUGUUAUCGUUUUCUUUAAAUUUAUCCCGUGAAAUAAGGCAGAGGGGAAGUUAUGGAAGCAAAUAUUAUUACCGAGAAGAUUAUUCCAGACAAGUAAAUCUCGCAGAUGAUGAUCAAAACAUUACCGCAUCCACUAUCGAUAUCGGAUAGAGGCAGUCAAUUAUGCCACCCAUUAAUGGCAAGGGUUUGCUGAUUUUUCUUCAAAAUAGUGGUUUCAAGCUUUUGAGGAUUACAUCAAGUUGGACGGCUUCUAAUACUCUUGGUCGUUAACAUUCUGCAGAUCAUGAGAGGGUCUCCAUAACAUCAAAGUGUUCUUUGUAUUUGUGAUCAAAAUACCCACAGUGUCUUCUAUAGGGUAUUGAGUGUGAUGACCAUUAGGGAGGGUAUUAAAAUAAUAUUUUAUAUAUUCUAGAUAAUGGUCAUCAUAGUUGUCGUAUUAGUGUAACUAUUGCUUCUUUAAUUAGAAGGCCUAGUUAGCUUUUCUGUUUUUAGCUUUUUAAGUGUAUUUAGCAUUUUAGUUUCAGUUAAACGGUUUGUUCUUUUUAGAACAUUGUCAUGUAAACCUCUAUAUAUACGAUUAUCUAAGUAAUUAAUUUUUCAAUUUGUAUAAAAUACAAAAUGC